rnacentral:rRNA from 1 species
CCUACGGGGGGCAGCAGUGGGGAAUAUUGGGCAAUGGAGGCAACUCUGACCCAGCAAUGCCGCGUGAGUGAUGAAGGUAAUUUUAUUGUAAAGCUCUUUUCUUUGGAACGAAUAAAUGACGGUACCAAAGGAAUAAGCCCCGGCUAACUACGUGCCAGCAGCCGCGGUAAUACGUAGGGGGCAAGCGUUAUCCGGAAUUACUGGGUGUAAAGGGAGCGUAGACGGUAAUGCAAGUCUGGAGUGAAAGGCGGGGGCCCACCCCCCGGACUGCUCUGGAAACUGUGUAACUGGAGUGCAGGAGAGGCAGGCGGAAUUCCUAGUGUAGCGGUGAAAUGCGUAGAUAUUAGGAGGAACACCAGUGGCGAAGGCGGCCUGCUGGACUGUAACUGACGUUGAGGCUCGAAAGCGUGGGGAGCAAACAGGAUUAGAUACCCGAGUAGUC